GAGAGCCGGAUGCGGUAAAUCUGCACGUCCGGUUCGAGGAGCGGGGACAGGAAACGGAGCCACGGAUGAGAAUGAGGCACCGGCACUAUGGUGAAAACCGCCGGCAACAGCGACUCCCUCAUUCCUACUGCCACCGCGCCUGUCCUCGACUCUAC
rfam:Chthoniobacter flavus Ellin428 ctg76, whole genome shotgun sequence.